GAUGAACGCUAGCGGGAGGCCUAAUACAUGCAAGUCGAACGGUAACAGGGUAGCAAUAUCGCUGACGAGUGGCGCACGGGCGAGUAACACGUACACAAUCUGCCUUAUACUGGAGCAUACCCCCAAGAAAUUGGGAUUAAUUCUCCAUAAUAUAUUGAAGAGGCAUCUCUUUGAUAUUAAAACUCCGGUGGUAUAAGAUGAGUGUGCGUCUGAUUAGCUAGUUGGUGAGGUAACGGCUCACCAAGGCAACGAUCAGCAACUAGUCUGAGAGGAUGAUCAGUAACACGGACACUGAGACACGGGUCCGACUCCUACGGGAGGCAGCAGUAGGGAAUAUUGGACGAUGGGCGCAAGCCUGAUCCAGCCAUCCCGCGUGAAGGAUUAAGGCCCUCUGGGUUGUAAACUUCUUUUCUCUGGGAAUAAAAACCGGUAUUCAUAUCGGCUUGAAGGUACCAGAGGAAUAAGCACCGGCUAACUCCGUGCCAGCCGCCGCUGUAACAC
rnacentral:rRNA from 1 species